rnacentral:rRNA from 1 species
ACGCACGCUGGCGGCGUGCUUAACACAUGCAAGUCGAACGGAAAGGCCCUGCUUUUGUGGGGUGCUCGAGUGGCGAACGGGUGAGUAACACGUGAGUAACCUGCCCUUGACUUUGGGAUAACUUCAGGAAACUGGGGCUAAUACCGGAUAGGAGCUCCUGCUGCAUGGUGGGGGUUGGAAAGUUUCGGCGGUUGGGGAUGGACUCGCGGCUUAUCAGCUUGUUGGUGGGGUAGUGGCUUACCAAGGCUUUGACGGGUAGCCGGCCUGAGAGGGUGACCGGCCACAUUGGGACUGAGAUACGGCUCAGACUCCUACGGGAGGCAGCAGUGGGGAAUAUUGCACAAUGGGCGGAAGCCUGAUGCAGCAACGCCGCGUGCGGGAUGACGGCCUUCGGGUUGUAAACCGCUUUCGCCUGUGACGAAGCGUGAGUGACGGUAAUGGGUAAAGAAGCACCGGCUAACUACGUG